rnacentral:rRNA from 1 species
UGACACAGGUGCUGCAUGGCUGUCGUCAGCUCGUGUCGUGAGAUGUUGGGUUAAGUCCGUAACGAGCGCAACCCUUGUCCUUAGUUACCAGCACGUUAUGGUGGGCACUCUAAGGAGGACUGCCGGUGACAAACCGGAGGAAGGUGGGGGAUGACGUCAAGUCAUCAUGGCCCUUACGGCCUGGGCUACACACGUGCUACAAUGGUCGGUACAAAGGGUUGCCAAGCCGCGAGGUGGAGCUAAUCCCAUAAAACCGAUCGUAGUCCGGAUCGCAGUCUGCAACUCGACUGCGUGAAGUCGGAAUCGCUAGUAAUCGUGAAUCAGAAUGUCACGGUGAAUACGUUCCCGGGCCUU